rfam:Taenia asiatica genome assembly, scaffold: TASK_contig0006746
GGCAGCGUGGCCGAGUGGUCAAAGGCGACAACUUUAGGCACCGGUCUGAAAAGGCGCGGGUUCGAAUCUCGUCGCUGUCA